rnacentral:lncRNA from 1 species
UGUGGCAGUACAAUAACUAAAUGAGAGCUCAUGAAAAAUGUAUCAUAAUGAAUAUUGCACAUUUCUUUUACUAGCACAAUAAUCCAUUCUCAUAUGUAAGGUGUUUCUGCACUCUUUUGGGUUUGGUACUCAUAUAAUCGGCGAAGCUUUUUAGUCAAUUCACAUUUGUGAUCAACACAUUUGACAACAUAAAACCAGUCUGUAAUUUGUGGACAAUCGGCAUCAGUUUCACAAUAAAUAUCUACUGUAAUGAAAAAGGAAAAGAAAAGAAAAUAAUGUUAACUAAAACAUGAUAAAAGAUUGUGUACGAACUGCAAAGUAAAUAGAAAAAAUUGAAAAGAAUGAGAAAUGACUUACCACCAUCAACUUCCGUUAUGACAAGAAAUAAGGGAAGAAAUAGAAUCAUAGCAUAAACAAAUUCGAGAAUUUCCACCAUAUGUUUUCC